UACAGGGGGGGCAAGCGUUGUUCGGAAUUACUGGGCGUAAAGGGCUCGUAGGUGGCCAACUAAGUCAGACGUGAAAUCCCUCAGCUUAACUGGGGAACUGCGUCUGAUACUGGAUGGCUUGAGUUUGGGAGAGGGAUGCGGAAUUCCAGGUGUAGCGGUGAAAUGCGUAGAUAUCUGGAGGAACACCGGUGGCGAAGGCGGCGACCUGGGUCGAUACUGACGCUGAGGUGCGAAAGCGUGGGGAGCAAACAGG
rnacentral:rRNA from 1 species